rnacentral:rRNA from 1 species
CAGCCGCCGCGGGAAUACGAAGGGUGCAAGCGUUAAUCGGAAUUACUGGGCGUAAAGCGCGCGUAGGUGGUUCAUUAAGUUGGAUGUGAAAGCCCUGGGCUCAACCUGGGAACUGCAUCCAAAACUGGUGAGCUAGAGUACGGUAGAGGUUAGUGGAACUUCCUGUGUAGCGGUAAAAUGCGUAGAUAUAGGAAGGAACACCAGUGGCGAAGGCGACUACCUGGACUGAUACUGACACUGAGGUGCGAAAGCGUGGGGAGCAAACAGGAUUAGAUACCCCGGUAGUCCCUGUCUCUUAUAC